AUAGACCGCACCCAAAACCGCACC
rnacentral:siRNA from 1 species